AUACGUAGGGUGCAAGCGUUGUCCGGAUUUAUUGGGCGUAAAGGGCUCGUAGGCGGUCUGUCACGUCGGAUGUGAAAACUCGGAGCUCAACUCCGGGCCUGCAUCCGAUACGGGCAGACUAGAGUUCGGUAGGGGAGAUUGGAAUUCCUGGUGUAGCGGUGGAAUGCGCAGAUAUCAGGAGGAACACCGAUGGCGAAGGCAGAUCUCUGGGCCGAUACUGACGCUGAGGAGCGAAAGCGUGGGGAGCAAACAGGAGUAGAAACCCGGGUAGUCC
rnacentral:rRNA from 1 species